rnacentral:rRNA from 1 species
AGUGAACGCUGGCGGCAGGCCUAACACAUGCAAGUCGAACGGCAGCACAGUAUUUGCUUGCUGUUACGCGUGGAGAGUGGUGGCCAGGUGGGGAAUACAACGGGAUCUAUUUUCCCGUGAGGGGUGUCGAAGGGUAACUUACGCUAUUAAAGCCCCCGAACUACGGGUGAAAGCAGGGGAUCUUCGGAAAUUGCGCGCUUGAGUGAGCCGAUGUCGGCUUAGCCAGUUGGCGGGGUAAAGGCCCAACAAGCUGACGAUCCGUAGCCGGGCUGAGAGGAUGAUCAGCCACACUGGAACUGAGACACGGUCCAGACUCCUACGGGAGGCAGCAGUGGGGAAUAUUGGACAAUGGGCGCAAGCCUGAUCCAGCCAUACCGCGUGGGUGAAGAAGGCCUUCGGGUUGUAAAGCCCUUUUGUUGGGAAAGAAAAGCAGCAGGUUAAUACCCCGCUGUUCUGACGGUACCCAAAGAAUAAGCACCGGCUAACUUCGUG